UUGCUAUGGCUACACAUGUGCUAAAAUGGGAACAAUACAGAGAAGGUUUGCAUGGCCCCUACACAAGGUUGACAUGCAGAUUUGUGAAGAAUUUCGUAUUUUU
rnacentral:snRNA from 1 species